rnacentral:rRNA from 1 species
CCUACGGGAGGCAGCAGUGGGGAAUAUUGGGCAAUGGGCGCAAGCCUGACCCAGCAACGCCGCGUGAAGGAAGAAGGCUUUCGGGUUGUAAACUUCUUUUCUCAGGGACGAAGCAAGUGACGGUACCUGCGGAAUAAGCCACGGCUAACUACGUGCCAGCAGCCGCGGUAAUACGUAGGUGGCAAGCGUGAUCCGGAUUUACUGGGUGUAAAGGGCGUGUAGGCGGGAAAGCAAGUCAGAUGUGAAAACCAUGGGCUCAACCUGUGGCCUGCAUUUGAAACUGUUUUUCUUGAGUACUGGAGAGGCAGACGGAAUUGCUAGUGUAGCGGUGAAAUGCGUAGAUAUUAGGAGGAACACCAGUGGCGAAGGCGGUCUGCUGGACAGCAACUGACGCUGAGGCGCGAAAGCGUGGGGAGCAAACAGGAUUAGAUACCCCAGUAGUC